rnacentral:rRNA from 1 species
AUUGAACGCUGGCGGCAUGCCUUAACAUGCAAGUCGAACGGUACAGGUCUUCGGAUGCUGACGAGUGGCGAACGGGUGAGUAAUACAUCGGAACGUGCCCGAUCGUGGGGGAUAACGGAGCGAAAGCUUUGCUAAUACCGCAUACGAUCUACGGAUGAAAGCAGGGGACCGCAAGGCCUUGCGCGGACGGAGCGGCCGAUGGCAGAUUAGGUAGUUGGUGGGAUAAAAGCUUACCAAGCCGACGAUCUGUAGCUGGUCUGAGAGGACGACCAGCCACACUGGGACUGAGACACGGCCCAGACUCCUGCGGGAGGCAGCAGUGGGGAAUUUUGGACAAUGGGCGAAAGCCUGAUCCAGCGAUGCCGCGUGGGUGAAGAAGGCCUGCGGGUUGUAAAGCCCUUUCGAUGGGAAAGAAAAGCCUGGAGCUAAUACCUCCGGGUCUUGACGUUACCCAGAGAAGAAGCACCGGCUAACUCCGUG